GGCCACCAAACAAGCACAUUAUGAAGGCUUAAAAAAUAAAAGGUGUUAAUCCCAUUAAUAUUCUGAUUCUCAAUACUCUCUGCUGCUCUGUAGAUUGUCUGCUUGAGGUGGCAUUGUAAUAUUUUAGCAUAAAUGUCUGAAUCAAACGUUGAGUUUUGACAUAUUAAAUUUCUCACAGGUUUUAUUUUUACAGUUGCGACCUUCAGUACCUAUCCUGUGUCUUUUAAGAAUUUCCUCAGCCAGGGAACAGAUUCGUUCGUUUAAGAGUAACUGUAAAGAAUCUGCAAGAGCUUCCAUCAUCCGUCACUAAAAGAAUUAAACCUCGCUGCACUCCAGCUAGCUAGGUAAGUUGCAUUAGCCCUACAGAUCAGAGUAGCUGUGAUGUAGGAAGGUGGGGUGGGCAUUUCCUAAGACCUGCCACUGACAGACCUGUCAUUGGCUCAUCUUGGAAUAGAUGCCAGGUCUCUCACUUCCCAUUCCCUGACUUAUCGUCAACACAGUGCAUCUAUUUGAUUACAUAAUGGGGGAAUUACUUUUCUGAAAUG
rnacentral:lncRNA from 1 species